UUUCGAAUUAUUCACAAUGGGCGCAAGCCUGAUGGUGCGACGCCGCGUGGGGGAUGACGGUCUUCGGAUUGUAAACCCCUGUCAUUAAGGAGCAAAAACUGGGUUCAUAGCCCAGCUUGAGUUAACUUAAAGAGGAAGUAGUGGCAAACUCUGUGCCAGCAGCCGCGGUAAUACAGAGACUACAAGCGUUACUCGGAUUCACUGGGCGUAAAGGGUGCGUAGGCGGUUGUGUGUGUUAAAUGUGAAAUCCUGGGGCUCAACUCCAGAACUGCAUUUAAAACUACACAUCUAGAGUUUUAGAGAGGUAAGCGGAAUUCUUAGUGGAGCAGUGAAAUGCGUAGAUAUGCGGAGGAACACCGAUGGCGAAGGCAAUCUCCUGGGCCUGCACUGACGCUCAUGCACGAAAGCGUGGGGAGCAAACA
rnacentral:rRNA from 1 species